GAUGAACGCUAGCUACAGGCUUAACACAUGCAAGUCGAGGGGAAACGACAUCGAAAGCUUGCUUUUGAUGGGCGUCGACCGGCGCACGGGUGAGUAACGCGUAUCCAACCUGCCCAUCACUUGGGAAUAACCUUGCGAAAGUAAGACUAAUACCAAAUGAUAUCCCACGAAGGCAUCGGAAUGGGAUUAAAGAUUUAUCGGUGAUGGAUGGGGAUGCGUCUGAUUAGCUUGUUGGCGGGGUAACGGCCCACCAAGGCAACGAUCAGUAGGGGUUCUGAGAGGAAGGUCCCCCACAUUGGAACUGAGACACGGUCCAAACUCCUACGGGAGGCAGCAGUGAGGAAUAUUGGUCAAUGGGCGAGAGCCUGAACCAGCCAAGUAGCGUGCAGGAAGACGGCCCUAUGGGUUGUAAACUGCUUUUAUAAGGGAAUAAAGUGGGUCACGUGUGACUUUUUGCAUGUACCUUAUGAAUAAGGACCGGCUAAUUCCGUG
rnacentral:rRNA from 1 species